AACGAACGCUGGCGGCGUGCUUAACACAUGCAAGUCGUGCGAGAAAGGGCUUCGGCCUGAGUACAGCGGCGAACGGGUGCGUAACACGUGGGUAAUCUGCCUUCAGGCCUGGGAUAACCUUCCGAAAGGAGGGCUAAUACCAGAUGAGCUCACGGGAUCCUUGGAUCCUGCGGGAAAAGGUGGCCUCUAUUUAUAAGCUACUACCUGAAGAUGAGCCCGCGGCCCAUCAGCUAGUUGGCGGGGUAACGGCCCACCAAGGCUACGACGGGUAGCUGGUCUGAGAGGACGAUCAGCCACACUGGGACUGAGACACGGCCCAGACUCCUACGGGAGGCAGCAGUGGGGAAUCUUGCGCAAUGGGCGAAAGCCUGACGCAGCAACGCCGCGUGAGUGAUGAAGGUUCUUGGAUCGUAAAGCUCUUUCGGCUGGGAAGAAACGCCCUGUGGCUAAUACCCACGGGGUUUGACGGUACCAGCAGAAGAAGCACCGGCUAACUCUGUGCCAGCCGCCGCAGUAAAAC
rnacentral:rRNA from 1 species